rnacentral:misc_RNA from 1 species
GUGAAUCAUCAAAUCUUUGAACGCAAAUUGCACUUUCUGGUAUUCCGGAAAGUAUGCCUGUUUGAGGGUCAGUUAUAUAAAAAUCGGUGUUGUUGCUGUCUUUCGUGGUGACGCGUCGUAAUUGAGUUGUCUUACCUUCGGCUAUGUGACUUAAAAUUUUGCAUGAUUUUCGAACGUAUUUUAAUUGCUUACGUACGUUUGAGAUAUCGAAUAUUUGAUUAGGUUCGAUCAUUUUCAU